GUCUCUUUAUAUGUCUCUAAUGAUUUAAAUCAUGGUAUCUGUCUUGCACUGUGUGUUAUCCAAUCUCUCAAUAAUGAUCCUUCCGCAGGUUCACCUACGGAAA
rnacentral:misc_RNA from 1 species